AAAGAAACGCAAAAGUAGUAAAUGAAAAAAGUUUUGGACCGGGAAUUUAUUGGAUCUUCGAAAAGAAGACUUUCUAAGUUUUAGAAUGAAAAAUUAUUUAGAUUCGAAAUAAUUCAAAUCGAUAGUUCUUUCUCAUUUGUAUAUGUAUGAUAUAUCCCACAAGACUUGUAUAUAAUAAGAAAAGAAAUUCGAGUUUGUAAAAGUGUCGGAUGAAUGAAAAAGAUCAAUGAAUUCUUGAAUAACUAAAAAAAGGGUAAGGUGUCAAACAGACUUUUUUAGGGAGUAGGGUUGGGGAUAGAGGGACUUGAACCCUCACGAUUUUAAAAGUCAACGGAUUUUCAUCUUACUAUAAAUUUCAUUGUUGUCAGUAUUGACAUGUAGAAUGGGACUCUAUCUUUAUUCUCGUCCGAUUAAUAAGUUCCACCAAGGAUCUAUCAGACUAUGAAGUGAAUCGUUUGAUUCAACACAAGGGAUUGAACUCCAUUUGUUAGAACAGCUUCCAUUGAGUCUCUGCACCUAUCCCGCUUUCUAAACUCUGGUUUGUUCGCGUAACCCAGGAUUUGGCUCAGGAUUGCCCAUUGUUAAUUCCAGGGUUUCUCUGAAUUUGAAAGUUAUCACUUAGUAGGUUUCCAUACCAAGGCUCAAUCCAAUUAAGUCCGUAGCGUCUACCAAUUCCGCCAUAUCCCCUUUUUGCUUUGAGAUUAGGAUCUCAUUAUGAUGUCUUUCCACUUUUUCUUAUGACGAAACCUUGGAAUUCAUUACAUACAGAUACUUAUUUUAUUUCUUUGGUAUCUUCUUGCAUUUUUUUUAGCCCCAUCCAUAUUGAUUUAGUUUAAUCAACAAAGAUUCUAUCAUUUUUGUAUUUGCAAUUCAAUAUGGUUAUAUAUUAGAGAACAUAUAUAUGUUCUUCCUUUUCUCAUCGUUGUCUUCAAUUUUAAGAAAUAGUCGAACGGUCGAUUCGUUUUUUUUACUUCCAUGAAAAGAAAUUUAUGAUCAUUAUUGAAACUUAGAAUUCUACAAUGUGCAAUGUAAAAGAUUAUAAGUCUACUUCGUAGAUUUGAAAUUCGAAUAAUUCUAAAAAAGUAUAUUCGAAAUGAAUAUUCGAAUAUUCAUUCUAAUAAUUUAAUUCUAUAAAAUAAUAAAGAAUAUAAAAAGAGAAAAAGUAUCAAAUAAUAAUAAUUGCAUGAGGUUAGAACAAAAAAACCAAGAAUUUCAAAUCAGAUAUCAUUUAACUUUAAAAAAAAAGCUUUCCGGUCUAAUUAAAAUUUUCUUAUUUAGAAACUCAUGAAAUCAAAAUUAGAAAGUCGAUAUAUUGCUAUAUUAUAUUAAUUCAUUAAGGUUUUGUUUUAUUUAUUUAAUGAUAGUCACUAUUUAUUUGAGCUAUAUUCUGUUCUAGAAUAUCGAAAAUAUGAUGAAUUCUAAAUAGAUAAGGAAAAAUAUGAAUAGAAUAGUUAAUUAAUACGAUCUAGUAGUUUAGUGAAUUUGUAUACACUAUUUUAGUUGAGCCCGCUUAGCUCAGAGGUUAGAGCAUCGCAUUUGUAAUGCGAUGGUCAUCGGUUCGAUUCCGAUAGCCGGCUUUUACAUAGUUUUUCAUUUUUUUUACAUGAUUUUUAAUGUACUUUCAAAAAAAAAUAAGAUUGAAAAGACUUCUUUCACCUUUUUCCAAGAGUUACCACGCCAUUUAUAUUAUGUCAUAUAAACUUCCAUAUAGGAAUAUAUAUUGGGGUAAAAGGGUUAGAUCUUGGCAAAAUAAAUGAAGAAAAUAAAGGAAAAUUUUUGUGAUUUAUUGAUUUAUAUAUAUUGUAUAUACAAUAAAAAAAAUCUGUAUAUUGAGAGAAUAUAUCUUCUGACUCUUUGUAUUCCAAUAGUUUAUUGGAGUGGAUUUUACGUUAUUUAUCAUUAUCAUUUAGUUCAGUUUUAAUUUUGUUUAGUUUUGUACAAUUUCAAUAAAAAAAGGAGUCUUUAUGUCACGUUACCGAGGGCCUCGUUUUAAAAAAAUACGCCGUCUGGGGGCUUUACCGGGACUAACUAGUAAAAGGCCUAGGGCAGGAAGCGAUCUUAGAAACCAAUCACGCUCCGGAAAAAAAUCUCAAUAUCGUAUUCGUUUAGAAGAAAAACAAAAAUUGCGUUUUCAUUAUGGUCUUACAGAACGCCAAUUACUUAAAUAUGUUCGUAUCGCCGGAAAAGCUAAGGGGUCAACGGGUCAAGUUUUAUUACAAUUACUUGAAAUGCGUUUGGAUAACAUCCUUUUUCGGUUGGGUAUGGCUUUGACUAUUCCUCAAGCGCGCCAAUUAGUUAACCAUGGGCAUAUUUUAGUUAAUGGUCGUAUAGUUGAUAUACCAAGUUAUCGAUGCAAACCCCGAGAUAUUAUUACAGUGAAGGAUGAACAAAACUCUAGAACUUUGGUUCAAAAUCUUCUUGAGUCAUCUGCCCCCCGAGGAAUUGCCAAACCAUCUGACUCUUCACACAUUCCAAUAUGAAGGGUUAGUCAAUCAAAUAAUAGAUAGGAAAUGCGUCGGUUUGAAAAUAAAUGAAUUGCUUGUCGUAGAAUAUUACUCUCGCCAGACUUAAAAAACCUAAGUGAAGUAAAAAAAAUCACUAAAAACAAGAGUUCGGACAACUCCCCUUUGCCCGCUUUUUUGAUUAAAACUAAAAAGGGACAAGGUAAGGGAUUUUGUCGGGGAAUCUUUUUCCUAUUCAUGUAUCAUAGAUUGGUAGGGAGGUUUGGAUCCCUUGUUUGCUCUUCCCAGCAUUUUCCAUAGCAAAGAAAUGUAGAUUUUAUAUCUAUUUUUUUUAUUUGAUUUGAUACGUUGUGGUCAAUCACGUAAGAUUGGUUAUUUAGUUGAAAGUACGGAAAGAGAGGGAUUCGAACCCUCGGUAAACAAAAGUCUACAUAACAGUUCCAAUGUUACGCCUUCAACCACUCGGCCAUCUCUCCGACAUCAGGAUUAUGACUGAGUACCUGGGUGAAUAGCGAGUUAUUCAUCGUUUUUUUAGAUUAUGGUUAAUAGAUACCUUUUUUUGAUCAGAAAAAUUGGAAGUAGAUAGAAUAUUUUUUUAUAAAAAACGAGUCCGCUUUUAUGUUAGUUCGUACUAUAAAAUUCCUUUGUUUGUGAGAAAAUUUUCUCACAAAGAAAGUUAAAGGAAAUAAAAGAGUUAUAGAAUGGAUUACUACCUAUGCCAAGAUCGCGUAUAAAUGGAAAUUUUAUUGAUAAAACCUUUACAAUUGUAGCCGAUAUCUUAUUACGAGUCAUUCCGACAACUUCCGGAGAAAAAGAGGCAUUUACUUAUUACAGAGAUGGGAUGUCGGCUCAAUCUGAAGGAAAUUAUGCGGAAGCAUUACAGAAUUAUUAUGAAGCUAUGCGACUAGAAAUUGACCCCUAUGAUCGAAGUUAUAUACUCUAUAAUAUAGGCCUUAUCCACACAAGUAAUGGGGAACAUACCAAAGCUUUAGAAUAUUAUUUUCGGGCAUUAGAACGAACCCCUUUUUACCACAAGCUUUUAAUAAUAUGGCUGUGAUCUGUCAUUACCGUGGAGAACAGGCCAUUCAACAAGGAGAUUCUGAAAUGGCGGAGGCUUGGUUUGCUCAAGCCGCCGAGUAUUGGAAACAGGCUAUAACGCUUACUCCUGGUAAUUAUAUUGAAGCACAGAAUUGGUUGACGAUCACGAGGCGCUUCGAAUAAGAACUUUUUCUUUGUUUCUUUUUUUUUUAUUCUAUAAUAUAUCUUUAUUUGUUUUUACAAUUAAUUGUUUUUUAGUUUCUUGGCCCUCUCGGUCAAAUAAACCAGAUUCUUUUUCUAUCAGAAGAACCAAUCCCAGAAAAAAAUUUCAUUAUAUCCUUUUCUCAAAUCGUUCUAUUUAAUCUGGUAUUCUCUAGGGAUAAGUAGUACAUGAAUAUGAGAAUAUCUAUAAUAUCUAUAUCUAGUUUUUUCUAUUUUUUUCUUUUCGACUAUUAAAACGAAUAAAAGGGAUUUGAAAAUGACUAAAUAUCAAUACUAGAAUGUUUCUUAGUAAUGACUAAUAAGCGGUUAUUGAAAUAGGAUAAUAUCCUCUAUUUAAAACAUAAAAAAUAGGCUAUAUUUCGGAACUUAUAAUUGAAAUAUGAAUACACUAGAUUAGGUUAUAAAAAAAAAUUAUUUGUGUACCAAUACUAAUGUAAAGGUGCGAAAACGCUUUUUAA